GGAUGUGAGGGCGAUCUGGCUGCGACAUCUGUCACCCCAUUGAUCGCCAGGGUUGAUUCGGCUGAUCUGGCUGGCUAGGCGGGUGUCCCCUUCCUCCCUCACCGCUCCAUGUGCGUCCCUCCCGAAGCUGCGCGCUCGGUCGAAGAGGACGACCAUCCCCGAUAGAGGAGGACCGUUCUUCGGUCAAGGGUAUACGAGUAGCUGCGCUCCCCUGCUAGAACCUCCAAACAAGCUCUCAAGGUCACCUGGAAAAGCUGUCUGAGUGGCUCAAACUGUAAGAGU
rnacentral:snRNA from 1 species